GAAAUCAAGCAUGGGUGAAGCCCGUGAUAUGUUUGCUGGGCGACCCAUUCUUGUUUUCUG
rnacentral:pre_miRNA from 1 species